AGCAGCCGCGGUAAUUCCAGCUCCAAUAGCGUAUAUUAAAGUUGUUGCAGUUAAAAAGCUCGUAGUUGAAUUUCGGGAUUGACACAUUGGUCGUGCCUUAAGGGGUAUGAACUGGUGUAGUCAAUUUCUCACCUUCUGGAGAACCGCGAUGCCCUUAAUUGGGUGUCGCGGGGAACCAGGACCUUUACUUUGAAAAAAUUAGAGUGUUUAAAGCAGGCAUUUUGCUUGAAUACAUUAGCAUGGAAUAAUAAAAUAGGACGGCAUGAUUCUAUUUUGUUGGUUUCUAGGAUCACCGUAAUGAUUAAUAGGGAUAGUUGGGGGCAUUAGUAUUCAAUUGUCAGAGGUGAAAUUCUUGGAUUUAUUGAAGACUAACUACUGCGAAAGCAUUUGCCAAGGAUGUUUUCAUUAAUCAAGAACGAAAGUUAGGGGAUCGAAGACGAUCAGAUACCGUCGUAGUCUUAACCAUAAACUAUGCCGACUAGGAAUCAGACGAUGUUAAUUUUUAAUGACUCGUUUGGCA
rnacentral:rRNA from 1 species